rnacentral:rRNA from 1 species
AUGAACGCUGGCGGCGUGCCUAAUACAUGCAAGUCGAGCGGACGGACGAGAAGCUUGCUUCUCUGAUGUUAGCGGCGGACGGGUGAGUAACACGUGGAUAACCUACCUAUAAGACUGGGAUAACUUCGGGAAACCGGAGCUAAUACCGGAUAAUAUUUUGAACCGCAUGGUUCAAAAGUGAAAGACGGUCUUGCUGUCACUUAUAGAUGGAUCCGCGCUGCAUUAGCUAGUUGGUAAGGUAACGGCUUACCAAGGCAACGAUGCAUAGCCGACCUGAGAGGUUGAUCGCCCAAACUGGAACUUAGACACGGUCCAGACUCCUACGGAAGGCCGCAGUAGGAAAUCUUCCGCAAUGGGCGAAAGACUGACGGAGCAACGCCGCGUGAGUGAUGAAGGUCUUCGGAUCGUAAAACUCUGUUAUUAGGGAAGAACAUAUGUGUAAGUAACUGUGCACAUCUUGACGGUACCUAAUCAGAAAGCCACGGCUAACUACGUG